UGUAGGGAGUUAGCUUCAUUUCCUUUGGACAUCUCGGGCACAAUUGAACCGGCUGCAGAAGAGCCCGCUUUUGCAUCCACUCGAUCGCUUGUUCACGGUCCUGAAAAAUAUCAGAAAGCAUAUCAGUAUUGUAAGCCAUUUUCAAUUGCCUCUUUGCGCUUUGCAAAAUAUGCACAAGUGGCGCCAAAUAUUGUGUAUGUGUGCGGUAUAUCGAUGGGGAUACAAACCAGGGUUAAGAUAUGGGUGAACAACGGUAGCACUGCUUAAAUUUGCAAAUGUAGGAGCUGGUUUAAAAUAUAAUAUUUAUUGCGGAUACACAUUGAAAGGGAUUCAUAAUUAAUGCAGAACAUAAAUGUAUUUACUCAAAUAUACUUUCGUUAUAUUUUUAUUUAUGAGUUUUCAAAUAUUUUCAUUUCAUGAACACUGUCCGUCGCACAGUUACCUUUGCAAUUACCGUUAUUUUUAAAAAUUCACAUACGCACGCAGGCAAUCAAUGAUAUCGUAGUGUACGUGGUUAGCUCUCAUACUGAAAAGGUAAACAAACCAUUUCAGUUUGUUUACCACUAGAAAACAGGUGUUUUGUGGGAUUUGUGCUUUAUUUUAUUACAAUAAUCGUUUGGUUUUUUACUAUCUCUCGGUAUUUUAUUACUUGAAUCUACUAUGACAGUGUGCCCUGUGUGGAAUUGAAACGCGUCGACAGUUGUUUGACCUUCUUCCGUUUUGUUUUCCUUGCGUUAUCGGAAGAAUUAGAUUAUUACCUUCCGUGUACCAUUAAUAUAACAUUGGUUUCGUUAAGCUUGCUGAAAAUUGAACUACUAGCAGACCAAUUCGCCGCCAGACAACGGUCAUGUUGGGCCCCUCGGAAUCCUCGCUCCAAAACCCGAUGAAGCAGCUGAUGAUUAUUGAUGUGAUUGCAUCACCCGGUUACAUAGAAGCAGCUGGUGCUGUAUCGAAAUCAGAUACCACGAGCAGAUGCCGAUGGACGAGAUGCUGCCACCAUCGGCCAUAAAGAACCUGGGGAAAAUCAAUUUUAUUUCCGGCAAUCCUUUCGCACCUACAUUGGAUGUGAUAAUUUCAGGGCAAUCACGUUGCCUCCCAUUGUUGGAUAACAAAUCCCACGGACGUGCUUCAGCUUGGCACGAACCGGGUUUGGGAUUAUAUUGGCGACAACUUUGUGUACUAUUUGCUGCAGAACAAAUCUAACGGCAAGCUGCCCCCGACAAUCACCCGGCCAUCUUCUGUCUGGCAGAGGAAAUCACGCAAUUCAAAAUAAUCAACAGUUUGGAAAAAGUAGUACAAGCACACGUAGAAAGGAGUAGCACACGUGAUUGCCGGUUCGGAGCUUCAGAGUGUGGAAUCAAUGGGACGGUAGUGAUUCCGGUGGACUCAGUGACCAGCGACGGAUUAGCGCUAGGAGAUGGAUAGUUUAACGAACCCAAUGGAGAAAACCCCGUACCACGAUUUUAACUUUUCUGCGCUCCGAAAUAUAGUAAUAAAUUGGAUAAACCUUCGUACUUUAUGCGUUCAGGUACAAUUUCCUACACAUUGCGUGGUGCAUUUUGCGUUUAUCUUAAGGAUCGCACUAUAACUAACUUUCGUUUACUUUUAAUUUUUAAUUCAUGAGCACUACGAAGGAGUGCUUUACUGAUGAGUGGUACAACUGAUCAGAUUUGAAAGGGUUCGUUUUAUCUAUUUAUUUCUUAAUUAAGAUGGUGAUAAUAAUGAGCAGCUGCUGCUUCGCGUACAA